rnacentral:misc_RNA from 1 species
UUACUUGAGCAUUAUUGCGCCUGCCGACGACAAAAUCAACCUUGGAAAUUCACCAUUAGUACUAGGUAAAACAAUAUGCAGAGUUAGUCAAAUUAUAAGUUGACGCAAAAAUCUUCCAAAAUUUACUGCAAUAAACAUCAACUUUCUCUCAAAUGAAGGCGACAUUUCUUUCUCCCACUCUUGGUUUUCAAAUCUUGCCUUUUUCUGGUACUUG